CCUACGGGAGGCAGCAGUAGGGAAUCUUCCGCAAUGGACGAAAGUCUGACGGAGCAACGCCGCGUGAGUGAUGAAGGCUUUCGGGUCGUAAAACUCUGUUGUUAGGGAAGAACAAGUGCUAGUUGAAUAAGCUGGCACCUUGACGGUAUCUAACCAGAAAGCCACGGCUAACUACGUGCCAGCAGCCGCGGUAAUA
rnacentral:rRNA from 1 species